UAUGACAGUGCAGCACACAGCAGAACAAAGUGCUUUGGUAGUAGUUCAGUGGCAGCUUCAGUAGUAGCAACAUCACGAGUUAUGGAUCUUCCACCUUUCUGAUGAUUUUUUAUUUUAUUUCUUUUUACAUUUUUUAUAGAUCUGUUUUUUACUUUAAGGAUUGAUUUCGUGGUUCACUUCAAGAGGAUUGUGUUUGCAGUUCCUGUGGAAGUUGAGGGGAAAUAACCAGGAAUAAUGGCAAACAGUAAUUCAAUCUGGUACCACGGUCCUAUCACCAGAGAUCGAUGCGAGGAGAUCCUGGGUGCGAAGAAAAAAGAUGGAUCGUAUCUCAUCCGGGAAAGCGAGACCAUCAGUGGAGCUCUGUGCCUCUGCGUCUACAAAAAGAAAGUGGUUUACACCUACAGGAUCCUACAAUCCCAUACAGGAUAUUACACUUUACAGGCGAGUGCAGGCGUGAAGGAAAGGUUUUUUAAGUCUCUGGAGGAUCUCAUUCAGCACUACAAAAAGAGAAAUCAGGGUUUAGCGUGUCGACUACGUCACGCCGUGAAGAGGAAACAGGUAGACGAGGAAUCAGUGGUGGGAGACGACGAGCCGGAUUACGAAAACGUGGACCCGACGUCCGAGUACGUCGAAGUGCUGCCAGAGUGAUUCUGUUGAAGUGACGUGCCGGAUGUAAAUAAGUAAAUAAAUAAAGAAGAAGUGUAAAUACUGUAAACCUGAACCAUGUUUUAUAUUACGGCCACGGUCUGUGGACACCUGAGCAUAAGAUUUCUGUGUUUUAUGAACGUUCUUGAACAUCUGAACAUUCAGUCUUCAUUCACUGCUAUAAUGAGCUCCACUCUUCUCUGAAGAUGUUCCACUAGAUUUUGUGAAGAUUUUGUGGAGAUUUAUUGAACCACAAUAAAUUCAGGUACUGAUGGAGGUGAGAAGGUGAGGAGGACUGGGACUGUUUACAUUCUUGCCAAAAGCAAUUAAUAGGUUUGGAGCUCUAUAGCAGGAGAUCUUUCACUCCAAUUCAUGUAAAGGCAGAUCUUUAUGAAGCUGGUUUUGUGCACUAAGGUCCUGCUGGAACAGGUUUGGGUCUCCUAGUUCAAGUGAAGGCAAAUUUGAAUGCUACUGAAUCUAAAGACGUCCGACACAGUUGUGUAUGUUAUGUUGUGUAUGUUCAAUAUUGUGCCUACUUAUGUAUAAGUGUGUAAACUGCCAUUGCUCAGGGUUGGUUUUGGUUAACCACACACAUUUUUCCGUCCCAGUGUAAAGGCUCUGGUGUGGAAAGAGAGAAUCUGAGAUAUUAUUAGUGAGUUGGGGAAAGUUUGUAGGCGUCUCAGUCUCCGUUUGUCAUCAUGGAUUUUCUUUGUAUGGCUAAAGUUCAAUAUAUAAAUAAUUAUUUAUUUUUGGGUUAUGUUUAUCAGUUGCUCAGUAGCUCCUGAGCUCCACAUUAGUGGUUCAUCAAAGCUUCAUCAUCAGAGCUUCAGCAUCAGAGCUUCAUCAUCAGAUCCUCAACAUUACUUAUUAGUUUCUUUACUGAUUGGAUCUGCUUCUUUAAUGCUGUAUCUGAUCUUCUUUUAUCUACUGUGAAAAAUGUAUUUUUCAGGACAUGAUGUGAUUAGGUUUAGAUAUUAUUAUAAUUAACUGUAACGACCUGAGCCACAAAUACAAUAUGAAAAUAUGAUUAACUGUUGUUUGAGAUGAU